ensembl:lncRNA novel transcript
UUUACUGGUGGCUACUCUGACUUUUCAGGCUCAAGAAAGCCACACAUCUUAAUCUGACCAUUAUAUCAAUGUGUAGCCACUCGGCUACACGUAAGACUGAGAAGUCUUAUGGGGUCUUUUUUGCUCAAAGCCUUCUUAAAAUCCAUCUUUUAUUUUUGAGAGUUUAAAAACAGUCAUUUUUUCCAAUUCUGAAUUUCUGGUUAUUAUUUUCUUUCACUCCUGUAAACCAAACAAUAGUUUCCUAAACUCAUCUCUUCCUUGACUACAUUUGGCAAGGUAAUGCAAUUACAAUGAACACACACUACUAACAACUUCUUUUCUUAAACCUUCAAUCUUGGUAGAAACAUGAAAUGGCCUCCAAGUUGCCAAAGAUAGUCAUCCAAAACCUUGGAACAACUCUGAAGGUCCCUCAUAUGGAUUCCUUGCUUCCCAGCUCCCUUUACAACUGGAUGUGAAAGGUGCUGUCUUCUGUACUUUCUCUUGAGAGGCAGAAAGAAAUAAACAAUGGCUAAUUCUGACCUA